UACUCCUAGGUUUUUGACUUGGAAACUAUAAGAUUCUCGUUAUUACAGGUGAUAACAGUGAUGGUGCCCGUUUAGAUCUUGAUGACAUUGAGAGAGGCCAAGGUCAUGCCGCUCGUAGAACAUCAGAUCCAAGAGAACAAUUUGUGGUAUACGAAAACGAGUGUGAGGUCCGCUUUGAACGAGUCCGCUUCCAACGACGCAGUGUGCCAAUAUUAAGCGUCGACGAAUCGACAAGAACC